AGGAAACGGCCUACAAGCUUCUAACACAUUGGUAUAGGACACCACAUCUCCUUCAUCACGUAAACCCAGACCACUCCAGACUCUGCUGGAGAUGUGAAAGAGAGGUGGGCACCACAAAACACAUCUGGUGGGAUUGCGCGUUGAUCCAACCAUACUGGAAGAGGAUACACAAAAUGCUAGAGAAGUUCGCGGAUGCGCCCCCCCCCCUGGAACCGGCAGCGAUGCUCCUACACCACACAACAGUUCCCCGAUCCAAAUACAAAAAAUCCAUGACCAUUAGAAUACUUAACGUGGCCAAACGAGUGCUCCCCCAAUUCUGGAAACAAACAGUUACACCUCCACUUUCGAC